UACGAGGGGGGCAAAUGUUGUUCGGAAUCACUGGGCGUAAAGCGCACGUAGGCGGAUCCUUAAGUCGGGGGUGAAAUCCUGGAGCUCAACUCCAGAACUGCCUUCGAUACUGAGGAUCUCGAGUCCGGGAGAGGUGAGUGGAACUGCGAGUGUAGAGGUGAAAUUCGUAGAUAUUCGCAAGAACACCAGUGGCGAAGGCGGCUCACUGGCCCGGUACUGACGCUGAGGUGCGAAAGCGUGGGGAGCAAACAGG
rnacentral:rRNA from 1 species